rnacentral:rRNA from 1 species
UACGCAGGGUGCGAGCGUUAAUCGGAAUUACUGGGCGUAAAGCGUGCGCAGGCGGUUUUGUAAGCCAGAUGUGAAAUCCCCGGGCUUAACCUGGGAAUGGCAUUUGGGACUGCAAGGCUGGGAGUGCGGCAGAGGAGACUGGAAAUUCCUGGUGUAGCAGUGAAAUGCGUAGAUAUCAGGAGGAACACCGAUGGCGAAGGCAGGUCUCUGGGCUGACACUGACGCUCAUGCACGAAAGCGUGGGGAGCAACAGG